UACAGUGGCGUACGGGUGAGUAGCACGUGGAUCAUCUACCCUGGAGUGGGGAAUAACGCUGGGAAACCGGCGCUAAUACCGCAUAAUCCCGAGAGGGCAAAGGAGCAAUUCGCUUCAGGAGGAGUCCGCGGCCGAUUAGCUAGUUGGCAGGGUAAAAGCCUACCAAGGCAACGAUCGGUAGCCGGCCUGAGAGGGCACACGGCCACACUGGCACUGAAACACGGGCCAG
rnacentral:rRNA from 1 species